rnacentral:rRNA from 1 species
CCUACGGGAGGCAGCAGUGGGGAAUAUUGCACAAUGGGCGCAAGCCUGAUGCAGCCAUGCCGCGUGUAUGAAGAAGGCCUUCGGGUUGUAAAGUACUUUCAGUCGUGAGGAAGGCGGCGUCGUUAAUAGCGGCAUCGUUUGACGUUAGCGACAGAAGAAGCACCGGCUAACUCCGUGCCAGCAGCCGCGGUAAU